UGGCGGUGUAGCUCAGUUGGGAGAGCGGAGGGUCUGGUCUAUGUGGGAUCUUCAUGGUCGGUGGUUCGAGUCCGCCCGCUGCCGA
rnacentral:tRNA from 1 species